rnacentral:rRNA from 1 species
GACGAACGCUGGCGGCGUGCCUAAUACAUGCAAGUAGAACGCUGAAGAGAGGAGCUUGCUCUUCUUGGAUGAGUUGCGAACGGGUGAGUAACGCGUAGGUAACCUGCCUGGUAGCGGGGGAUAACUAUUGGAAACGAUAGCUAAUACCGCAUAACAGUAGAUAUUGCAUGAUAUCUGCUUGAAAGGUGCAAUUGCAUCACUACCAGAUGGACCUGCGUUGUAUUAGCUAGUUGGUGAGGUAACGGCUCACCAAGGCAACGAUACAUAGCCGACCUGAGAGGGUGAUCGGCCACACUGGGACUGAGACACGGCCCAGACUCCUACGGGAGGCAGCAGUAGGGAAUCUUCGGCAAUGGACGGAAGUCUGACCGAGCAACGCCGCGUGAGUGAAGAAGGUUUUCGGAUCGUAAAGCUCUGUUGUAAGAGAAGAACGAGUGUGAGAGUGGAAAGUUCACACUGUGACGGUAUCUUACCAGAAAGGGACGGCUAACUACGUGCCAGCAGCCGCGGUAAUACGUAGGUCCCGAGCGUUGUCCGGAUUUAUUGGGCGUAAAGCGAGCGCAGGCGGUUAGAUAAGUCUGAAGUUAAAGGCUGUGGCUUAACCAUAGUACGCUUUGGAAACUGUUUAACUUGAGUGCAAGAGGGGAGAGUGGAAUUCCAUGUGUAGCGGUGAAAUGCGUAGAUAUAUGGAGGAACACCGGUGGCGAAAGCGGCUCUCUGGCUUGUAACUGACGCUGAGGCUCGAAAGCGUGGGGAGCAAACAGG